UGCAGAAGUAGAACCACCCAGUUCUAAUGUUUUCACUGCUAAUACAAACAGACCCUUCAUAUGAACAAGGGUUGCUGUUUGGUGUGUGCGUGUUCAAGCAGUCCACUAAAAUGUUGUUGGAACUGAUCCUCUUUUUCUUUCCAUCUUUUUAUCACUCAUGUUGUGUGCUGGCUUUCAAUCAUUAUACCAUUAAAACAGUGGCAGCACAGAAAUCAAAGUUGGCUACUUGCAGAGGGGGACCAACGAUUCUAGUAAACACUGAGAGAAAAGGCUCAAGGCGCCAAUAUGACCGAAAAGGAAAAAGAAAAAAAGAAGACAAGUGGCAGAAAAAGCCAACCCACAGAAAGCCCACUGUUCCAUUUUUCAAUGUGUCGCCUGCUACUACAGUGCCCCAUAUUAAAGCAGAGUUGAGCACUUCUUUAAAUAAAUGCUUUGGGAAGGCUGCAGCUUAUGACAAAUUGAUAAGCGUUUAAUAUGGAGAGUGACAGAAGGUUACGGAUGAGGCUACCUGUGUCAUUAUCUCUCAACAUGUACGGAAUGAGCAUGCAUUCUCUCCUGACAAAAGGAAAAAGGGAGAAUCUCUCAAACCUAGUGUUUUGAAACUGGGUUUCUGCAAAACACUUGCAUUAAAACAUGACCACAGGACAUCUUUGCUAUGUGUCAGGGUCUCCAGAUUUUAACUGAGAUUCUCUGGGUCAAACUAGAUGGUACUUUAACGACAGAGUUGAAUCUCAUGCUUUGGCUUCCCUACCUAUAGCUUGUUCUUUAAACAAAUGGUGGCCACCCACCAAUGCUGCUAUUUGCACCUGAAACUGCAAAUAGCAGCCUGGGGAAAGUGGAAUGGGGGGGGGGAUAAAACUUCUCCUCUUACACAAUUGUCCCAACUCAGAUCAGGGCCCCCACUAAGCUACUUUUGAAAAAUGCAGAUCUUGAGUAUGGAAUUCACACACCCCAUUAAUGUAAUGUCUAAUUUGCCCCUGUGGUGUCCAAAGAGGCAGGGGAGUGACCCAGGAAAGGGGACCAGUGAUUUAUGGAGUGUCACACCACCUGCAAGGCAGGAGUCAGGGGAGGAGGGAGAGUCAGGGCAGUCUGAGGCAGAGGAGGGUGCCCAGUAUGUAGUAGAGGAAGGAGGAGGGAUGGUUCAGUCAUGGUUCAGUAGAAUCCCCACCUUUCCCCACCAUAAAGUCUCUUAGAACCAGGAGGGGCUUGAAAAGGGAAGAGCAGCAACAACUUCCAUGCAGUGGGCUGGGGGAAGGUGGAUUCUCAGCCUCUGUUUGUUGUGUUUAGGCACAGCGGGUGGUGGUGGUGGGAGACCCCCUUAUACUGGGAGGAGAUGGGGGAACAAGACUUUGCAGUUACUCCCCUCCUGACCGAUAGCAUGCUUGGGUGCAAGACGAGGGGUUAAUUCUCGGUGCUUCUUUGGAAGCUGCAUGCAAAGGAACACUCUGCACCAUGUAGGAUUGAUACAUUAGCACAGCACUUGUUAAGCAGAGUUAUUGAUUCUACUGGGUGCUGCUUUGCAAGCAACCUUUCUGUGGGGAAGCCUCUUGCAAAGGAGAAUGCCGCACCGCAGGACCAAGCCAAUGCUUCUGUUCAGCAGAGUCAUUGAUCCUGCCAGGUGCUGCUUCAGGGAUGGGGUGUCAGGCAAGAUGGAAAGUCAGUUCCUACCUUCUCCUGGGAAGAUGCAACUGGCAAUCAGGUAGCCCUCUGGCCUUUUUACAGGCUUUCCCACCCAAUGCCUGCCUCUCCUUCAUGCCUAAUAUGCUGACAGCCAAGGAUUGCUCUGGGCCACCCAAGCUAUUGAGCAGUGAUCCAUGGCUAUCUCAACAGAUACUAGAAUCCCCUGAAUAUUCACUGAGCCUUUCUAAUGAUCAAAAUUGCUCUAUGUUUACUGAGGGAUAACUCGAUAACCUGUAUCAUCCUGUCAAAUGGUAAAGUUGGGUUUUCCCCCCCAUACAUGAGACAGAUCUGCGGUAUCAACAGUCAUCUACAGCCACACAAGAGCUCUUCUUGGGUGUCAGUUGCAAAUGUGUGAAGGUGAGUGGUGUGUGUGUGCUGCUAAGCCCUGCCCUGUCUGAUGCAUCAUCUGCUCACACUUUGGAGACCUCCAUGAGGGUCUGAGGGUAAAGACCUGAAGUGAGGGUCCCCUCCCCUUUUCAUAGACACCGAUGAAAAUAGCUGGGCCACCUACAUAAAAGUGCUUCUACUUCCUUUCUUGUAGAAUACUUGACAUGCGUCAUCAAAAGACUGCGUUCUGCUCUUGGUGGCAUGGCUGAUUAUUUCAGAAGGAUAAAUACUGUUCUUGGAAUGUCAUUGUCUUAAGAUGUCAUUAUCAUGCAAGGAGGGAUUGCUGUCAGCAAGCUGAACUUUAUCUUCUCCUUGAAGUCACACUGUCUCAGAACACAUGGCACAAUGUGAAAGACACUGGUGUAAUGAAAUAUUUCCAGGACAUAUGUUAUGUAAAUAUUGCCCUCUAAAUAAAUUGUCAUCUUCAGAACAUUGCUUUUGUGUCAGACAUGUAAACUCAAAUGAUACAUCUGUCUGCUGAUUUACAACACUAUGAUAUGGUACAUGGUUUUUUUAAAAAAAUAAAAAAUUAAAAUUAUUACAUUAGAAUAAAAGGUUUUCUGGUUUGUUGUCUGCAUUAAAAUCUAGCAUUUCCUCCUUGUCUGUUCUGUUAAUUAAAUUGAGAUUUUAAUUAUUGCACACAGUAUCCUGCUUUGUGUGUGGCUGCUUAGCUAUAGGACUGUACACAUGAUUAUAAAACAAAACCACUCCAGCCAAUGCUACUCAUUACUGAAAAUGUUUAAACUGAAAGAAUAUGAUAAUAUAGAUUAAUUUAAUAAAAAACUGCAUUCAGUUUUUACUGUACUGCAGAUAUCUGCAGCAACCA
ensembl:lncRNA